UAUAAUAUAAAGCAGAGAAAAUACCGGCACUCUAGGUCCCAGACCUAAAGUGACGGUAUUUUCUCUACUUUUUAUAUAUAUAUAUAUAUAUAU
rnacentral:miRNA from 1 species